rnacentral:rRNA from 1 species
GACGAACGCUGGCGGCGUGCCUAAUACAUGCAAGUAGAACGCUGAAGGAGGAGCUUGCUUCUCCGGAUGAGUUGCGAACGGGUGAGUAACGCGUAGGUAACCUGCCUGGUAGCGGGGGAUAACUAUUGGAAACGAUAGCUAAUACCGCAUAACAGUAGAUAUCGCAUGAUAUCUGCUUGAAAGGUGCAAUUGCAUCACUACCAGAUGGACCUGCGUUGUAUUAGCUAGUUGGUGAGGUAACGGCUCACCAAGGCGACGAUACAUAGCCGACCUGAGAGGGUGAUCGGCCACACUGGGACUGAGACACGGCCCAGACUCCUACGGGAGGCAGCAGUAGGGAAUCUUCGGCAAUGGACGGAAGUCUGACCGAGCAACGCCGCGUGAGUGAAGAAGGUUGUCGGAUCGUAAAGCUCGGUUGUAAGAGAAGAACGAGUGUGAGAGUGGAAAGUUCACAAUGUGACGGUAUCUUACCAGAAAGGGACGGCUAACUACGUG